rnacentral:rRNA from 1 species
GUGGGGAAUAUUGGACAAUGGGCGCAAGCCUGAUCCAGCAAUGCCGCGUGAGUGAUGAAGGCCUUAGGGUUGUAAAGCUCUUUCACCCACGACGAUGAUGACGGUAGUGGGAGAAGAAGCCCCGGCUAACUUCGUGCCAGCAGCCGCGGUAAUACGAAGGGGGCUAGCGUUGUUCGGAAUGACUGGGCGUAAAGGGCGCGUAGGCGGUUGACCAAGUUGGGGGUGAAAGCCCGGGGCUUAACCUCGGAAUUGCCUCCAAAACUGGUCGGCUUGAGUGUGGAAGAGGGUUGUGGAAUUCCCAGUGUAGAGGUGAAAUUCGUAGAUAUUGGGAAGAACACCAGUGGCGAAGGCGACAACCUGGUCCAUUACUGACGCUGAGGCGCGACAGCGUGGGGAGCAAACAGGAUUAGAAACCCGUGUAGUCC